GAUGAACGCUGGCGGCGUGCCUAAUACAUGCAAGUCGAGCGAACGGACGAGAAGCUUGCCUCUCUGAUGUUAGCGGCGGACGGGUGAGUAACACGUGGAUAACCUACCUAUAAGACUGGGAUAACUUCGGGAAACCGUAGCUAAUACCGGAUAAUAUUUUGAACCGCAUGGUUCAAAAGUGAAAGACGGUCUUGCUGUCACUUAUAGAUGGAUCCGCGCUGCAUUAGCUAGUUGGUAAGGUAACGGCUUACCAAGGCAACGAUGCAUAGCCGACCUGAGAGGGUGAUCGGCCACACUGGAACUGAGACACGGUCCAGACUCCUACGGGAGGCAGCAGUAGGGAAUCUUCCGCAAUGGGCGAAAGCCUGACGGAGCAACGCCGCGUGAGUGAUGAAGGUCUUCGGAUCGUAAAACUCUGUUAUUAGGGAAGAACAUAUGUGUAAGUAACUGUGCACAUCUUGACGGUACCUAAUCAGAAAGCCACGGCUAACUACGUG
rnacentral:rRNA from 1 species